rnacentral:rRNA from 1 species
AGAACGAACGCUGGCGGCAUGCCUUACACAUGCAAGUCGAACGCGAAAGCACUUUCGGGUGUUAGUAGAGUGGCAAACGGGUGAGUAACGCGUGGGAAUCUACCUUAUAGUACGGGAUAGCCUCGGGAAACUGGGAUUAAUACCGCAUACGCCCUUCGGGGGAAGAUUUAUCGCUAUAAGAUGAGCCCGCGUAAGAUUAGCUAGUUGGUGGGGUAAUAGCCUACCAAGGCAACGAUCUUUAGCUGGUCUGAGAGGACGAUCAGCCACAUUGGGACUGAGACACGGCCCAAACUCCUACGGGAGGCAGCAGUGGGGAAUAUUGGACAAUGGGCGAAAGCCUGAUCCAGCAAUGCCGCGUGAAUGAUGAAGGCCUUAGGGUUGUAAAGUUCUUUAGUGGGGAAGAUAAUGACGGUACCACAGAAAAGCACCGGCUAACUUCGUGCCAGCAGCCGC